GCGCAUGUGGCGUAAUUGGUAGCCGCGCCAGACUUAGGAUCUGGUGCCUCACGGCGUGGGGGUUCGAGUCCCUCCAUGCGCA
rnacentral:tRNA from 3 species